rnacentral:rRNA from 1 species
UACGAAGGGGGCUAGCGUUGUUCGGAAUUACUGGGCGUAAAGCUCACGUAGGCGGAUAUUUAAGUCAGGGGUGAAAUCCCAGAGCUCAACUCUGGAACUGCCUUUGAUACUGGGUAUCUCGAGUAUGGAAGAGGUGAGUGGAAUUCCGAGUGUAGAGGUGAAAUUCGUAGAUAUUCGGAGGAACACCAGUGGCGAAGGCGGCUCACUGGUCCAUUACUGACGCUGAGGUGCGAAAGCGUGGGGAGCAAACAGG